rnacentral:rRNA from 1 species
AUGAAACUCCGCCGCCACGAGGCGGAACCUUGGCGGAACCAAUCCAGGGCUCCGGCGGAGCUGUUCUACCGGGGAAACAUCCCUCCGGGAGGGGGAAAUCAUCACCAACGAUCCUCUCAUCAGGAGGGGGUCAAUCUCCAUCAACAUCUUCACCAGCACCAUCUCCUCUCAAACCCUAGUUCAUCUCUUGUAUCCAAUCUUUGUACCAAAACCUUAGAUUGGUACCUGUGGGUUGCUAGUAGUGUUGAUUACUCCUUGUCGUUGAUGCUAGUUGGUUUAUUUGGUGAAAGAUCAUAUGUUCAGAUCCUUAAUGCAUAUUAA